AUAACGACUCUCGGCAACGGAUAUCUCGGCUCUCGCAUCGAUGAAGAACGUAGCGAAAUGCGAUACUUGGUGUGAAUUGCAGAAUCCCGUGAACCAUCGAGUCUUUGAACGCAAGUUGCGCCCUAAGCCUUCUGGCCGAGGGCACGUCUGCCUGG
rnacentral:rRNA from 1 species